rnacentral:rRNA from 1 species
AUUGAACGCUGGCGGCAGGCUUAACACAUGCAAGUCGAGCGAGCGGCGGACGGGUGAGUAAUGUUUGGGAAACUGCCUGCUGGAGGGGGAUAACUACUGGAAACGGUAGCUAAUACCGCAUACUAUCAGAUGUGCCCAGGUGGGAUUAGCUAGUAGGUGGGGUAAUGGCUCCACUAGGCGACGAUCCCUAGCUGGGCUGAGAGGAUGACCAGCCACACUGGGACUGAGACACGGUCCAGACUCCUACGGGAGGCAGCAGUGGGGAAGAGUGCACAAUGGGCGCAAGCCUGAUGCAGCGAUGCCGCGUGUGUGAGGGGGGCCUUCAGGUUGUAAAGCACUUUCAGCGAGGAGGCGUUACUCGCAGAAGAAGCACCGGCUAACUCCGUGCCAGCAGCCGCGGUAAUAC